GACAAGGAGACAACAGGCCGCCCCUUGGAGCUCCAGCGCGGCCAGCUUGAAUCCAGCUGGGAAAAGGUACCACUAGGCGACCCCCAAUUAUCUGCCCUCGUACUCUUUAGAAGCUUUUCUGGACACACAGGUACAAGCCAGGCUCUGGGCCAGGCCACAGCGAUGUAGGAGACGGGGAGCCUGCAGUCCACCAGGGACAGAGACAUGAAGGACCAACCACAAUUCAGGGAUGUUACUGUCACAGAGAAAGAAGCACAUUGAACUGUGACCCAGAGAGUGCAGGCAAGACGUGGAGGGUUAUGAGUCUGCAUCCCAGUGAGAGAGCGACCAAGAACCCUUCCGUGUGCACCAGCUCACCGCUUAGAAAAUAGCAGUGUAUCCACGGUUUCCUAAAAAGUCACGAGCAAUCCUGGGAGGGACAUACACUUUUCCUCAUUCAGCCCAAGGAAAGACUCAGAGGCUCCGAGCGCCGGGGUUGAAGCGCAGAGCUCCUGCCUCCGAGGCCGGCAACUCCUGCACCCUCGGCCCACGAUAGGAUUGCACUUCCCUGUCGGUGGACAUCACAUCCUGACCAUUUGGAACUUCGGUGAAGAGUCUCCAGGACCUGCACUUGUAGGUGUAAGUGUGGGCCAUGGACCAGCACAACCCGCAGAUGGGGAUGCCGUCUGUGAAGAGUCCCACAGACUACCCAGGUUUACUUACAAAGAAGGGGCUUGUUCACAAAUAAUCUCAACCUCAACACAUUUUGGAAGAGACUGCCAUGAAGGUUAAUGGCUGGUGACAAAACAUGGAACAGACCUGCUCUUCAGUUCAUCUGGACAGCCUGCAGUAGAGCGUGAUGUCACUGGCUUGCACUGCCCUAUGGAGCUUUCUGAUCAAUGACACAUCAGAAGUUCACACUAGAAGCAGCGUCUCCUGCCUAUUACUGCACUGCUUCCAGAAAGACCAUGCCUGCUUCCCUUGGCAAAGGGGAAAGGUGAUUUUCGGAAUAAAUGUUAACUUAGGCAGGGAUUAUUGAAGAUUAUCCACUCAUGUUAAAGACUAAGAUUUCCAAAAUGUGGAAUUCGUUGACUAGGUGACUGGUGCGCUGGUGUACUGAAUUUUGGUUUUCGUUUUUAAAUAAAAUGCCGCCUUUUAUUAAGAGACAAAGAAAACAAGCCAAUCAUCAACUCAGUGAAAAACUACUUUGCAACCAAGUGGCUCCUCAUUCACGGCUGCAGGAAAAAAGAAGCUGGAGCCAGGGGAGGUGGGCCUCUUCGGGCCCUCUGAGGAUUCAGGGUCACAUUUGGGCUUCCCCGUUGCUGGAUUCACUGCAGGCAGAAUGAUAUGCACCUAACAAUGUAGAUCACUCUUUCCCUCUACGGAAAAGAUUUUAACGUUAGUUCACUCAUUUGUAAACUCUUUUUUUAAAUUUCUGGACCUGAUGAUUUCUCUGCUGGUUCCACGGCUCAGAUCUAGAAGGAUGCCGUGGUUGGGGGAUGCACUCAGGGCCCCUCGGGAACCCUGGCCAAAAUAAAUGUUGUGAAUUCAGGUCUGUGUAUUCUUCUAGAGCUGUGCCUUAGGGGCUGCUGUGCUUGACCAUGGACUCCAGGCCUGGCUGCCCACGGCUCUGCCCUGAGACCACCUUCAGUCCUCACAAUCCAGGCUCACCAGCUCAGGCCUCAGGUAAUCAGGAGGAACUCCUGCCUGAGAGGAACAGGUCUCUGGCUCUCCGCAUUGUUGAAACAGCCACAUUUUCCAAACUUGGGGGCAUGUGUUCCAAGUGCCUUCUUGGUGGGUUUUAUUUCUUAAUUCCCUUGUCCCAAGUGCAGCUAAUUUCAUAAUUGCAGGCUGUAGAGUUGUUUUUCACAGUGUGUUGAAUUUCAGUUAGUUUCAAAGAGCUUCCCACAUCUGGGCAGGAUAGGUCGAGCCUUCAUACAAGAACCUGUCUCUGAAUUGGCGUGUUUGCCCGUGCACCCUGGGGCAAGCAAGAGGCUCGGGAGGCCCUGGUGUACAGAGGCCCACAGUUCGCCUGGAAGCUGGCUCCUCAGCUCUCCCCGGUGGCCAACCCCGUGCAAGACUCAAGCAAACAGCCUCAAGGCAAUGGAUUCCCACCUCCCCAAGUCAAGCUCUCCCCACAUCUCACGGACUCACGGGGAGCACGUGUCCUCUCAUGGCCGGAUCCUUCAGUUUUUCCUACUGCAACUGGCAUAUCCUUCCACUUAUUUCUGCUCAGGGGAGCUCCAGACUAGCCCCCUUUGCCACACAAGAGCCUUUCAGAGAUUUAAAACGGUUUUUAUAAUUGUUCUUCCCCAGGCGAAAGAGUUUCGACUGGUUUAUAAUCUCUUUUUAGCAAUCCCAUUUCCCUCUCCUUUCAAUCCCCCUCCUGCCCUACACAAUAGAAUACAAAUAAAAAUUGCCGUUUGACUUUA